UCGCUUUCCGAUAAGACUGUACGGUAUCAGUUUGUUGGUGAGGUAAUGGCUCACCAAGACUAUGACGCCUAACUGGUUUGAGAGGAUGAUCAGUCACUGGAACUGAGACACGGUCCAGACUCCUACGGGAGGCAGCAGUGGGGAAUAUUGCACAAUGGAGGAAACUCUGAUGCAGCAACGCCGCGUGGAGGAUGACACAUUUCGGUGCGUAAACUCCUUUUAUAUAAGAAGAUAAUGACGGUAUUAUAUGAAUAAGCUCCGGCUAACUCCGUGCCAGCAGCCGCGGUAAUACGGGGGGAGCAAGCGUUACUCGGAAUCACUGGACGUAAAGAGCAUGUAGGCUGGUAGAAAAGUUAGAAGUGAAAUCCUGUGGCUUAACCAUAGAACUGCUUCUAAAACUCUCUACCUAGAAUAUGGGAGAGGUAGAUGGAAUUUCUGGUGUAGGGGUAAAAUCCGUAGAGAUCAGAAGGAAUACCGAUUGCGAAGGCGAUCUACUGGAACAUUAUUGACGCUGAGAUGCGAAAGCGUGGGGAGCAAACAGGAUUAGAUACCCUGGUAGUCCACGCCCUAAACGAUGCACACUAGUUGUUGCCAUACUAGAUAUGGCAGUAAUGCAGUUAACACAGUAAGUGUGCCGCCUGGGGAGUACGGUCGCAAGAUUAAAACUCAAAGGAAUAGACGGGGACCCGCACAAGCGGUGGAGCAUGUGGUUUAAUUCGACAUACGCGAAGAACCUUACCUGGCCUUGACAUAGAAAGAACUUUCCAGAGAUGGAUUGGUGCUAGCUUGCUAGAACUUUCAUACAGGUGCUGCACGGCUGUCGUCAGCUCGUGUCGUGAGAUGUUGGGUUAAGUCCCGCAACGAGCGCAACCCUCGUGUUUAGUUACUAACAGUUCGGCUGAGGACUCUAGACAGACUGCCUUCGUAAGGAGGAGGAAGGUGAGGACGACGUCAAGUCAUCAUGGCCCUUACGGCCAGGGCUACACACGUGCUACAAUGGGGCAUACAAAGAGCAGCGAUACCGCGAGGUGGAGCAAAUCUCAUAAAAUGCCUCCCAGUUCGGAUAGCAGUCUGCAACUCGACUGCUUGAAGUUGGAAUCGCUAGUAAUCGUAGAUCAGCAAUGCUACGGUGAAUACGUUCCCGGGUCUUGUACUCACCGCCCGUCACACCAUGGGAGUUGAUUUCAUUCGAAGCGGGGAUGAGC
rnacentral:rRNA from 1 species